UUUUCCCUUGGAGUAGACACAGUGGAUGCUGAUUUUGCCUUUCUCAGCAGCUGGUCCUGGACCCAGACCUGGAAAUCAGUCUUGGGAUACAGAGGACUGAGAUAGAAGAGGGAAAAACAUCACUUUGAUUGCUGGACACACAGGUCACUUGGAAGGGUGGAUGCCUCAUCAGAAACCCUCAGGUCUGAGAGGACAUCUGUUUCUAGGAGUGUAGUGGGUGUAAACAGAGCAGGAGCCAGCUUUUCUGUUGGUUGGGAUUUUAUAUUUGCUGUUUUGUUUUUCUAACAUUAUUCUCCACUUAAACUACCCCCAUUUGACAUCAAAAGCAUUCAUAAAUCCUAUAUAAGUCAUUGCCCCUCCAGUGCUUAAUCGACCCAUAAAAAUCUAUUUAGCACCUACUGUGUGUCCAACAUUUCAACCCCAUGGUGUUGAUUAAAGCAGGAAGCAAGAAGUCACAGCUGCUGAAUUUUCACUGUAGCCACCCUGCUCUUUGAUGUGUCACAAAAGCACAUGCUCAUCAUUCAAUCAGCCGUUUGUUGAGGACCUCCUGCACACUCAGCUCUGUAUUGGGUGCUCCAGAAUACAGGGAAGAUGUAAUGAGACGGUUUGUUUCCCAAAAGGGGUCGAGGCUGCUGAAUACCAUACUUGGUUCUCGUUCCUGACAGAGGUUAAGGUGGCAGAGUGCUAAUUAGAGCCACUAACAAUUUUCCUGGGUGGUUCUGACUCCCAAACUGUCAGGAAACACUGCUUGGGCGUUUUAAGAGAGCAACUGUCCCCAUUGAUGAAGAGAUUCUUCAAACAAGGUGGUCAAAGAAAUGGAUUUAAUUGUUCCUCCCUACAUAUUUAUUGGGUAGUGAAUUGUUGACCUUUUUCGAUAUUUAAGAAGGGGCCAGUGUUUUCCCCAUGAGAGUGAAAAAAGAAAACCCAGAGAAAAUUCAGAGAGUGAAAUGAUUGGUAGGAUAGGUUGUAAGGAGAGUUUUGUUGGAGUGUUAGAGCAUUCUUUGACUCACUGAAGCAGGUUCACUAAAGGGAAAAUUCGGGAGACUUGGGAGAAGGUUGCAUCCUGAUAGUUCUUUGCGUACACAUAUUUUUGAGCUGUUUUUGAGAAUAAAGAGGUAAAGGGCCUGCCUGUUCCCUGUUUGACUCCAGAAUCCACUGGUACCACUGUCUUUGAUGUCCUUCUGAGUUUUCAGUAGAACUUAGGGCUAGGACCAUGUCAUUAGUGUGGUCACUUUGAAGCCCUGAAUUGGGCCAGAGGCAAGACAGUGACCAUCCAGGGCAGGUGACUGCCCUGCUUUAACUAUCUCCAGGACACAGACCCUCAUGCUCUCUGCCCUCUGCCAGGACUCGGGCUGCCUAAGAGGGCAUCACAGUCCACAUGGGCUGUGGGGGGAGCACAGCCAGAGGCAGAGGGAUCAUAAUUCAGAGCCUUUGGUAGCAAAUCCCAUUUUCAUUAGCUAUUUAAUGAGCAUGGUCAGGUCCACGGCUCUGACUCAGGAGUUAUUGUUUAUUUCCACGUCCCCAGAGCUGAGGCUGCCUGUCAUGUUCGCUAAAGCAAAAGGCAGCCCCUCCUCCAGGGGACAAGUUCACUCUUCUCCCCAAAGACAGAGGUGUUGGGGAUGAAGCUCCACAUACUCUUGGAAUCUGAGAUAUUUGAUGUAUCUAAUAGUUUCAGCUAUUUUGGAGUAUGUGACCCUUAUUUCAUCUUCACACUUCUCCCCACUAGCGUUUGUGAAGCUGCAUACACUUUCUGUGAAGUGGGUCUGGGAGGAGGAAUUCGUAGGAGGAGGGAUCUGUGAGGUCAUGCCCAGUGGGAACAUGAUUGUCAACACUUUGGCCCCAGAGGCUCUGUCCUCAGGGAACUGGAGGCAACAAGGAAGUAAAAAGCAAUAGGGCCUGAACUCAGGGUACCUACAGAAUAUUUACUACGGGCCUUAAAUAUAGCCCAAAGUCAGUGAUAACAGUCAUCAUCUGGUCCGGGUGCAUCUUGCUGUAAGAAAAUAUGAUAUAUGAAAAUUCAAAAUGAUUUCACAGAAGGGCUUGCCAGUUUGCAUUCCAAAAGGACGUAUGGGCUUCCCGAAGUAAAGCUUUCCCCUUUGAUACUUAA